rnacentral:tRNA from 1 species
AUAAGAGUGGCAGAGUAGUGCGCUAGAUUUAGGAUUUAGAUAUAAAGUUUAACUUUCUCUUAUA